GUCAGUCGGUAGGUUGGCCAUCGGUCGGUCGGUAGGUCGGUCGGUCGGUCGUUCGGUCGGUAGGUAGGUCGG
rnacentral:pre_miRNA from 1 species